rnacentral:rRNA from 1 species
CCUACGGGAGGCAGCAGUGAGGAAUAUUGGUCAAUGGGCGAGAGCCUGAACCAGCCAAGUCGCGUGAGGGAGUACUGCCCUAUGGGUUGUAAACCCCUUUUGUCGGGGAGCAAAAGCCGGUCGUGUCCGGCUGUGAGAGUACCCGCAGAAAAAGCAUCGGCUAACUCCGUGCUAGCAGCCGCGGUAAGACGGAGGAUGCGAGUGUUAGCCGGAUGUAUUGGGUUAAAAGGGUGUGCAGGCGGAUUUUUAAGUCAGCGGUAAAAUCGUGGCGCUCAACCCCAGCCAACCGUUGAAACUGGGGAUCUAGAGUGUGCGAGAGGUAAGCGGAAUGCGUGGUGUAGGAGUGAAAUGCAUAGAUAUCA